UUUUUUUUUUUUUUCUUUCAGACCCAUCUCCAAUUCUGUUUUUUUAGAAUCCAAGAGUUCUUUUCAGUUCUUGAGGAAGAAAAAGACAAGAAUGAGAAAUCAGUAUAGUUUAGAUCGUUUUAUUGGUAUAUGACUUUAGAUAGUAUAAACCUACGAAGACUUUGUAAUUAAAGAAAAUGAGGGUCAAUUAUCAGUUAGAUAAAUAGGAAAAAUAUGAGUUUUUCUAUGUUUAGCAAUAUUAAAAGGAAACAUAAUUUCUUCCUAGAACAAGGUUAUGUUUUAUGUAGCCCCUUUCAGCAAGAAUUCUAGGCAUUUUACCAAUUUUCAAAAAAAUGUUCUCUAAUCAGAUAGACCACAACUGAAAUAUCUAAUGCCAUUUCACUCCUGCUCAUAUUAAGACACUUUAUAGCUAUAAUGAUGGUAAUCCCUUAGUCUGUCAUAUAUAUGCUUGUAAGACAAUAUAAAUUCUAUAGAUUAGAAGAGUUAAGAAAAUUCUAUAAGUCUAUUAACAGUCCACACAUCAUUCCAAUUCUUAGAAUGUAUUACAAGUUCUUCAGUACCUGCAACCUUAUCUUUUUGGUAAUUCAGUGAUAUAAGUCUUGCGCAUGGAAAUUCAAAUACAAGACACAGGAUAAAUACGUAGUAAAUUUAUUAUAGACAAAAUAAUUCUAUUAAACUUCUAAUCUUUUACAUGGAUAGCUUAAUAAAUUUUAUAUUUAAUUUAUGGAUUUUAUUUCAACUGUUCUGUAAUAAUUAAAUGUGAUUUUCAGUACCAUAUUCAUUUUUAGGAUUCUCUACUUUAAAGAUUGCACUGUUAUUCUAUCUAGCUCCCUUGAAAGCCAUGUCUAUGUCAAUUCAUUAAAACCACAGCUCCUUGCCCUUGAGCUCCUGACAGAGAACCCUAAACAAGGAAUUAAGAGCUAUCAUACAGGCUGCUUUUAUCCCUGCCAAUCCAUGGAGCACUUUAAUAUGGACCAAGCAAAGUAACACAUGUUCAGAGUACAAAACAAUCAGUGAGACUCUAUUACAAAGGUAGGAGUACUGUGGGGCAGAAGAGGGAAGGAAGAGACAAAUGAAUAAACGACAAUUAAAUGAAUUUACUAAUCAAAUCCAAAGUUGUAAGUUCAGUAAAACAAGAUUCACUAUCAACACAGAAAAGGAAAUAAAAUCUCCAAGGAUGGAGUGGUGAGUUAGCAGGUUGUGAGACUGAAUAUUGUAGAAUGUUUUGAUUGUGAGUAUCAAAGAAAAUAAGAGAAAAAGACUAGCAAUACAAGAUUAAAAACAUAACAUACAGAUAUCUAAAUAUCAAAAAAUUUAAUACUGCAGUAUUAGAAUUUAAUUCAAGGAUUUUAGUUGUAUGAAGGAUAGAGGGGGAAGUAAAGUGACAAUAGGUGAUAUUCAAGUGUUUAAACACAAUUAAGUCCAACAGGAGAAGAGUAGGGUGAAUAAUAUGCGUGAAUUUACUCCUUACCAGGCACCAUGUUAGUUUUUGUUACACACAUGCUAUCUCUUUGUAACUUCAUCUCAUCCUCACUGGACAGAUGAAAAGAUGCAAGCUCAGAAAGAUUAAACAACUUUCCUAAGGCCGUAUCAUUCAAAGGGAGCAGAGUUUCUUCUCUACUCUACAAUACUGCCUUUACUGGAUUUUGUAAUUCUGAUUAGUUAGAGCCAAGGUAAACCAGGGAUCAAUACCUGAUUUCAGAGCAGGGUUUCUGAACCAGUAGCAUCAGUAUCUCUUGAAAACAACCUCGAAAUGCAAAUUCGCAGGCCCAUCCUUGACCUACUGAAUCAAACUAGAAGGAGGGAGCCCAACAGUGUGUUUGAACAGAUCCAGGUGAUUCUGGUGCCUGCUACAGUUGGUGAAUAUUCAAUUUAAGCAAAGUGAAGACACUGCAGGAAAGCUCUGAAGAGGCUUUCAACCAAGUGCUCACCUUGUUCACCUCUGCUGUCAUUCUGCUAGGUAAGGUUUAAGGGCACCAUCUGUGGCAUUAAGUCUGUCUUAAGGGAUAAAACUAUUUCCACAAAAGAGAGUUUCUCAGACUUGCAUGUGCAUAUGAACCACCGGAGGAUUUAUUAAGAUGCAGAUUUCAAUGGAGUAGACAUAGCAAAAGGCUGAGACCUGCACAUCUGCUUCGAUGACUUCAAUGCUACAGUUCAGAGGACUAUGCUGUGAAUAGCAAGACCAGAAAGUUUCAGUGAGCCACACCAGAAACACGCUAACAAAGCACCACUCAGAGAAAAAAUUAGCAUUAUAGUACCCUUCAAAUACUCCUAAAGAAACUUCCCUAAUUUUUUGAGACUUCAAGGAGAAAAGUCAUCUGGCUCCAAGUGAAGCACAAUUUCUUGCUCCAGUUUUAGUGGCCAUGGAGAACAGCUGGCUCUAGGCUGCUGAAACUAUGUUCCUUCAGUCAAAGGGGACCUAAGUCACAAUUAGUUGAGGCCUUACAACUUGACAGGUAAAGCUAAUUAUUUGAUUGCCUGAGAGAAUGACAGGUAACUUAUAGCAUCUGACCGCUUGCAGCUCAGAACCACUUAGUGAGGCUUUUUAAUCACUUCAUCACUGUUUCUUCAAAAAUCCAAGGUGACCAAAAAAUUAAAGUAAGCAAAACAGACAGCUCAGUUUUGAGACAUAAAUGGGGCUGUAUGACAAACAUUCAUCUCAUUCAAAUGUCUGCACCAUGGUAUUUAUUGCUUUGUUUACUUUCACUUACCUUUCUAGAUCAAAUCUAACUCCAGCACUUACCAUUCUGCUACCAACAGCAAUAUAGUUUUCCACCUCCCCUCCCCCACUCUUCUUGUAUGUGUCUCCAAUCCCUUGGCUACUUGGACUCUCCUUGUUUCAAAAGAUUCAUUUCAAUAGACUUUUAGCAAAAUAGUCCAACAGGGACUCUGGGUGAAAUAAAGACAGGUUGAAUAUAGCCCCGCCCUUAAGACAAUUGAGGAGUGAGAGAGGCAGCAGAGAAUAGUGAUCAAGGAGAUACGCAUGGAUUCAAAUCCCAUCAUGGACCACUUAAACAUUAUGGGCAAUUUCCAUCAUCACCCUUUGCCUCAAUUUUCCCGUUUAUUUAAACAAAUAAGGGAAUAAGGCAAACAUAGCAUCUUUUCGUGGUGGAAUGAUAAGGAUUAAUUAACAUUUAAAAAGUAGCUAGAAAGAAAGCUGGUACAUCAUAAAUGUUUUCAGGUUUUUAAAUGUAGAGAAAAUGCAUCUUAGCCCAUAAACUCAAUUAUACCAAAGCUCCUAAAAUACAGUCUUUGUUUUGCUAAAACUGAAUGAAAUUACUCAUGCUCCCACUUUCAAACAUCUGGCCAUACCCAGUUUUUCAUCUCAAUUUGUUUCUAAGUUCAAGGCUUAUAAAAUGCAAAGGCAUCAAAGAGCAGGAAGGACAGGACAAUCUGGUUUCAUUGCCCUCUGUCCUCUCUCUUCUGAGUCAAUCAUCAUCCCAUCUCCUACUUAGUCCUUAGUCUAAGCAGGUAGCAAAUGGAGAUGCCCCUUCCUGUCUCUUGUCCACAAGUCUCUUUCUGUCCCAAGAGUCUCUCAAUUCCUUAAUUUAACAGCAUUUUAGGAAAUUUUCUUUCAAAGUGAUUUAUAUGAGCCAUGGGCAUGAGAUAAACGGCAUAGAGUAAAAGAAACACAACACUUAACACUUACUGCCAACUACUUAUUCCCACCUGAAGAACAAGAGAAUGUUUCUCUUUCUUCUGGGUCACGCCGCACACCCAGAAAUCCCCAUGAGCUCACCCACCAGAGACCCAAUCCCAGAAGCAGGGGCCCCAUCAACUAAUAACUUCACUUCUCCAGUCACUUCUCUGUGAUCCUUUUCUUCCCAGAACUCCUAGGAAAAAUUUAUAGUGAUACAGAGGGGGAACGUUCCCCUCUCCUAAGCCCCAAAUAUUUUAGAUAAACUCUAAAAUACACUCCAUUCCCCUGAGAGCUUAGUAUUUUAGGAACCAGUCAGGAAGAGCUCUUUGUGUGAUUUCAACUCUCUUACAUCCGUCCCGGGAGGCGAGGCUCAGUUGCCAACCUCACUGAAUGAGAAUAGGGAAAAGAAUGGAAAUAGGAAAAGAGGAAAUCAGAUGAGUUUAUGGUUCUGAAAAGUUAUCAAUUGUGUGCACAAAUAAUCAUAAUGUGAGGCAUAAUGUUAUAAUUCUGAGAAAACAAUGAAGCAAGUAUCAAUUUUUCUUUUUUAAGGGCCACUCCAUCAACAUAUGCGAGUUCCUGGAGCUAGGGGUUGAAUUGGAGCUCUAGCUGCCAGCCUGCGCCACAGCCGCAGCCAUGCCAUAUCCAAGUCACAUCUGCUACCUACACCACAGCUUGACGCAAUGCUGGAUCUUCAACUCACUGAGUGAGGCCAAGGAUAAAACCCAAUUUCUCAUGAAUACUAGCCAGGUUCUCAACCCUCUGAGCCACAACAGGAACUCCAGAAAUUAUUUGAUUUUAAAAGGGAGUGAUUGCCAGAGUUCCUGUCAUGUCGCAACAGAAGAUGGAAUUCCUACCAUGGCAUAACGGAAACAAGUCCAACUAGGAACCAUGAGGUUGGGGGUUCAAUCCGAGGCCUCCCUCAAUGGGUUAAGGAUCUGGCAUUGCCUUGAGCUGUGGUGUAGGUUGAAGAUGCAGCUCAGAUCUGGCACUGCUAUGGCUGUGGCAUAGGCCAGAAGCUACAGUUCCCAUUCCACCCCUGGCCUGGGAACCUCUAUAUGCCAUGGGUGUGGCCCUAAAAAUAAAAAUUAAAAAAAAGUAGCGAUCCCCUAUAUGGAAUGGAGAGUAGAUCAAGAAAGGUGCUGUGGGUAGGAUGUAGCAUGUAGGCUCCCAUGAGGGACUUGACACAAGUGGGUAGGAGAACUUCCCAAUAAAGUUUGGUCAAUCACUCAAAGCCAGGAAAAUGCAAUGGUUUUAUGGAAGGCAAAUAAUUCAGCUUGUCAAACUUGAGAAACACCAUCUUUGCCUGCUGGAGCUUUGACUUAGAAUAAAACAUAGUAACCAUAUGAGUACCCCAAACAGGAAUUAUCACAAGUUGCCCCAAGUCCUAGUGAACUGCGAACAUUUUUAUACCACUGCUAAAAACGGCCC
ensembl:lncRNA